UACGUAGGUCCCGAGCGUUGUCCGGAUUUAUUGGGCGUAAAGCGAGCGCAGGUGGUUUAUUAAGUCUGGUGUAAAAGGCAGUGGCUCAACCAUUGUAUGCAUUGGAAACUGGUAGACUUGAGUGCAGGAGAGGAGAGUGGAAUUCCAUGUGUAGCGGUGAAAUGCGUAGAUAUAUGGAGGAACACCGGUGGCGAAAGCGGCUCUCUGGCCCGUAACUGACGCUGAGGCUCGAAAGCGUGGGGAGCGAACAGG
rnacentral:rRNA from 1 species